rnacentral:piRNA from 1 species
UCCAAGAAAAGUGGUGAAUGGAAGUGUGC